rnacentral:rRNA from 1 species
CAGGCUUUGGGAUAACCCCGGGAAACCGGGGCUAAUACCGAAUAUGACCUCUGACCGCAUGGUUGGUGGUGGAAAGUUUUUCGGCUUGGGAUGGGCUCGCGGCCUAUCAGCUUGUUGGUGGGGUGAUGGCCUACCAAGGCGACGACGGGUAGCCGGCCUGAGAGGGCGACCGGCCACACUGGGACUGAGACACGGCCCAGACUCCUACGGGAGGCAGCAGUGGGGAAUAUUGCACAAUGGGCGGAAGCCUGAUGCAGCGACGCCGCGUGAGGGAUGACGGCCUUCGGGUUGUAAACCUCUUUCAGCAGGGACGAAGCGUAAGUGACGGUACCUGCAGAAGAAGCGCCGGCCAACUACGUGCCAGCAGCCGCGGUAAGACGUAGGGCGCGAGCGUUGUCCGGAUUUAUUGGGCGUAAAGAGCUCGUAGGCGGCUUGUCGCGUCGACCGUGAAAACUUGGGGCUCAACCCCAAGCCUGCGGUCGAUACGGGCAGGCUAGAGUUCGGUAGGGGAGACUGGAAUUCCUGGUGUAGCGGUGAAAUGCGCAGAUAUCAGGAGGAACACCGGUGGCGAAGGCGGGUCUCUGGGCCGAUACUGACGCU